ACUGCUCAGUAACACGUGGAUAACCUGCCCUAAGGAAGGGGAUAACCUCGGGAAACUGAGGAUAAUACCCUAUAGGUUACAGACGCUGGAAUGCCCUGUAACCGAAAGUUCCGGCGCCUUAGGAUGGAUCUGCGGCCGAUUAGGUUGUUGUUGGGGUAACGGCCCAACAAGCCGAUAAUCGGUACGGGUUGUGGGAGCAAGAGCCCGGAGUUGGAUUCUGAGACAUGAAUCCAGGCCCUACGGGGCGCAGCAGGCGCGAAAACUUUACAAUGCGGGAAGCCGUGAUAAGGGAACCCCGAGUGCCUGUAUAUGCAGGCUGUCCAGGUGUCUAAAAAACACCUGAAGAAAGGGCCGGGCAAGACCGGUGCCAGCCGCCGCGGUAAUACCGGCGGCUCGAGUGGUGGCCACUUUUAUUGGGCUUAAAGCGUUCGUAGCUGGGUUGUUAAGUCUCUUGGGAAAUCUGACGGCUCAACCGUCAGGCGUCCAAGGGAUACUGGCAAUCUUGGAACCGGGAGAGGUGAGGGGUACUUCGGGGGUAGGAGUGAAAUCCUGUAAUCCUCGAGGGACCACCUGUGGCGAAGGCGCCUCACCAGAACGGCUUCGACAGUGAGGGACGAAAGCUGGGGGAGCAAACCGGAUUAGAUACCCGGGUAGUCCCAGCCGUAAACGAUGCGCGUUAGGUGUAUCGGUGACCACGAGUCACCGAGGUGCCGAAGGGAAACCGUGAAACGUGCCGCCUGGGAAGUACGGUCGCAAGGCUGAAACUUAAAGGAAUUGGCGGGGGAGCAC
rnacentral:rRNA from 1 species